UGCUAGGCUUGGGGGGAAAAAUGAAAGAGGCGUUGAAAAGCUUUACCCAAUGUGUUUUCAUUGUGUAAAUAAGAAUGAAAUUUUAUGAUCUUCAUGUUUUUAGGUAAGUUAAGGUUUUUGGUUUUUUUUUUUUAGCUAAUUUUUACUAUUUGUCUGGGGGCAUUGAAAAUGAAUUGAGCUUCCUUCCACUGAUUUUGGGAAUCUUAUUGAUUUAAUAACAUGGCAGGAUUUACUUUUGCCAAGGUUCUCUUUCUGGACACUGCUGGGAUGUUUUCUGUGGGUAGUUAGUGGACUUUAGCACCCUACUAACACAGGAUGGCAAAGUUUUGACCAAUAUUUUUUUUGGAAGUACAGAAUAUGCCUUUUCAUAUGAAAUGUUUUCAGAGCAGCUUCCUUCUGCCCUUAUCCACUCAAAUAAAGUUCUGACAUGCAAAUAAAUUUUGCAUUAGCAGAGAUAUAUGACAUCUACAGUUAAGGACUAUGGCCAACCAAUUAUACCCACAUGCCAUUUUCUACUUUUACAAACCCCUGAUAAAAGAGAAAAGUCUUGAAGACAGCAUUUCACACAUAAAAUAUUUCUUUUAUAGCAAAACGUGUCCAACUGAUUUACGAGGUCCUCUCAAGGAGAACAAAACACACACUAUAAAACUGAAACUCACAGAAAGAUUUCCCCAGCUUCUUUAGAAAAAACACACUCAAAUUGCACGGGGUAUAGAUUUUCAUAGUAUAUAAUGUGAAUUCUUCAUGGAAGCUGUGCUUUCAUCCUGGUGAGUUUAUUUAUUUCUAUGGUAGUAUAAUUUUUUUUAAAAAACAAUACAUUUUCUCAAGAUACUUGUCCUUGAAUUAAAGGCAUCACUGGAAAAAUUUGACCCAUAAGUCAGGGAAAUGCAAGGUGCAUUUUGCCUAAUUUGGGACACCUGAAUCAGAAUUGUAGCAGGGUUCAGGGUGGCAGACGAUAGCCCACUGGGCAAACCUGGCAUGCACUGUUUGUGAAAAUAAAACGUUGUUGGAGUCUGGACGGGUCAUUAAGUGCUGUCCGCGGCUGUCUUCCUGCUGAAGUGGUGGAGCUGAGUGGUUCUGAUGGACAUCCGGCCCAUGAAGCUGAAAAGCCUACUGGCCCUUAGUAGAAAACGUUUCCCGAUUCCUGGAUGGAUGGAAAAGGACCAGUCUUUCUGGCAUCAUCAGAAUGUCUUCUGUUUUCCAGGGGCACAUCUGGAGGCCCCAUGGAAUUUUCCUAACCGUCGUGUGGAGUGUGUCAACAAAACGGGACCGUCUGCAUCAGGGCAGUCAUGAAAGGGUCCCCAGCGACCUAAGUCCUUUUAAGUGGAGUACAAUGGACCCAGAUUCCAUGAGAGAAGCCGCCAUGCACAGUGGCACUUGGGAGGAAAAGAAAAACCCUCUCGUUUCCUUAUUACCCGAACACACUGACGAUCCAUUUGUAAAAGACGGCCCAGCCAGCAUCUCCCUCCCUGAGAGGGCGGUGUGUGCUGCUGAAACUCUGAUUACAACUGCUCUUAGGAUGAAGUGACUGGAGCCCAGAUACCUUAUUUAGCAAUCAGUGCUCGGCACAAGGACUUGCUGUGCCAACGAAAAGGAAGCGAGGCAUUUUGGCUAGUCACCGCGUUUUUGCUGCGUCACAGGGAGACAGAAGAUGGGCUGCUAUUUCGUCGGCUAAAUGCUAUCAUUUUAAGCACCGUUCCAAAGAAAACAGGGAUCUUGCCAGAGGAAAAUAACAUAUACCAUAAAGGAAAAAGAAAUGUGCAUCAAGGCAAAUAAACAGCUCUCUACUAAGGGCCUAGGAUCUUGCUAGACGAGUCAUUUCUCUGGUUGAAAAGCAGUUGAGAAAGGCAAGACAAGGGGGGCGGGGGCCCAGCAGGGCACCUCUGAGCCCUUCCUGCUGCUCUUCAAAGACAGACGCAUUUUCCUUUCUACGGUCUCCUUGCAAGUCUUCUGUAGGCCCUGCCACCUUCAGGCUGACUGACUGCCUCCUUCAAAUAUCAGCAUUUGGUGAGUUCCCACCAUGUCCCAGGCCCUGCGCUGGGUGCUAGGACGCAGGAGGGGGCAAAACAGGCCAGGCCUUGCCUUUCUGAGCUUGCUGCAGGCAGAGCAGACAAGAGGCCUUUGUCCUUGGGCCCUGGUAUGGAGCAUCUAAAAACCCUUGGAAUUUCCUGAGAGAUUGGAGUGUCUUUGUUAUGCUAAUGAAGUGACUCACUGUUGGCCCCUGGGUGGUUUUAGGAUGGGGAGGCUGGUCGCCAGAAAGACCAGGCACAGGACCAGAGAGUUGGGGACUUGGAGCUAGCCUGACCUCCAGAUGGGGGUGGGGGGGUGUUGGAGACUGAGUUCAAUCGUGAGGCCAAUGUGUUAAUUAAUCAUAUCUACAUAACAAAACACAAUAAAAAUCCUGGACACUGAAGCUCAGCAGAGCUUUGUGCUGGUGGACAGAUGGAUGUGCUGGAAGGAGACCCCUGCUGACCCCUGCUGACUCCAUGACAGAGGGAUGGAAAUUCUGCCCCUCCCAGACCUCACCCUAUGCGUUCUGUUUCCUUUAUAAUGAAAGCACAAUUAGAGGUAACUGAGUUCUGUGAGUCAUUCCAGUGAGUUAUCCAUUCUGAGCAUGUUGUGGGAACUCCAGAAUUUGUAGCCAAGGUCCCCCGGGACUUGUGGCUUGCAUCUGAAGUGGGGGUAGUCUUUUGGAGACUUUUGUCCUUAACCUGUGGGGUCUGAGCUGCCUCUGCUAGACAGUGUCAGAAGUGAAUUGCAGGAUACCCAGUUGGUGUCUGGCCAGUGGGGUUGAAAUGGAAUCCAUGCAGUUGGGGGCGAAGGUGCAAGAGUGAUCAUGAUGGUGCUUAAGAGAGGAGCAAGGUGAGCCCAAGGUGGGGGUUGAAGCCGAGACUAGGAGGUCCUGACCUAGUCGAGGAGGGCAGGGCCAGCUCCACUGGGAAGUGACAGCUGACCUGGGAUCUGGAGCAUGAGCAGGGCUAGCCAGGUUAGGAAAGGGCACUCCAGGCAGCAGGAAGAGCAUGUGCAAAGGUCCUGUGGUGGGGCUGGGAGAAGGCAAGUGUGGCCAGACUGGAGAAGGCGAGGGGAGGUGGGGCAGGGCCAGGCCACACUGGCCUGGAAGGUCACAGAACACAUGUGGCCAGAGUCCUGGAGCCCCUCCCCAGCACAUGGGCCAACAGGAUGCUCCCCACACCCACAUGAGGCAGCUGGUGUCUUUACCCCCACUUUAAAACCCUGACUUCUGCGUCUCCAGGAAGGGUACUGGGGAGUCGACACCCUCAUGUCUGUGAGCUGACUGCAGGACGUCUCCUGUCCAGGUGCUGGCACCUCAUCUAACAUUUGAAGGCUCAGAAGAAAAGCCACGUCUGCCUACACAAUCUCACAAUCCGGCUUCAGCAAAGCAUGAGUUAAUUCAACUUCAUACUCGUGAACGUGAAGCGGGGGUUGGAAGGAAUGAAGGCUGCAGGACACCCAUGUACCAAGAAAAAGAAAGACAAAUUGGUUGUUUUAUCUACUUUACAUCAUGAUGGAGUCCUAAAAAGGGCCCCAUGAAGGCAGGCAGCCCAGGGAGGAAUGACUGGACGGUGACAUUGUGCAGGGGGUCUGGAAGUUGCCAGCGCAGGGGUUAGCAGCUGCAGCCUGGCCUGGUCCUGUCUGCCUGGCUGUCAAACCCAGAAGACCGUGGUUUCUGGUGGCCUCUGUGUGACAGCGGAGGAGGUGGGGCGAGGCCUGGAAGUGAAGCAUCUCGUGAGCCACUUAAGUGUUUAUGAAGCUCGCUAAUGUGCUUAAAUGAACGAGAAGCAGGUACUUGCUCCCAGGACCAGAGCCACCAAAGCAAUUUCCUCUGCAGCCCCUCAUACUUCGCACACUGGAAGCUUGCAUUCUUUCCCAGAGGACAGCCGGAUUACAGCACCGCCUCUAAUGCAACCCGAUCUGGUUUCUUUGAGCGCCGCGGUGAACGUGCAAUCUAUCUCAUAAAUGCAUCGCAGUGUUCCACAAAUCACCCACGUUCAUCCCUUGAGACGUCUUUAACUCGGGGCUUAGAGUUGCAAAUGAAUUCUCCUAUGGAUCUAUUAUUCCAUCAAAUAGCGGAGAGAGGGGACUAGCUUGUGCAGAGCCUUCAUAGAGCUGGGCUAAAUUCGAUUAUGCAAAGUCUAACGAGCACCAUUCAGCAAAACCAUGGUGGGUGUGAGCUGCAGGCCAGCCCCUCCACUGGGCCAUUAUCCAGGGGUAAACACCACUCGUGGGUUAGUUCCACGAGUUACUGGCUGAUUUGACCUGUGAUACUCCAAGGUGGAAGUAACCAAAUAAUAUGUAUCAUGAGCCCCAAGAACGAAGCCAGUGGAGAGUGGUACAUGCUAGAGGGUAACGCCUGGCCCUUUGCAGGACAGCACGUCAGCCAUGCGCCAUGGGACGAUGGUGGUGGCUGGGACACAGGAGGCCACGGCAGGAAAUGGGCAGGUGGGUGGGUCUAUGUAAGCUGGCUUUAGACUUCAAUCCACAAGCAUUUGCAGCUCAACUACUCAGCGUCUUAUCUUAUUUAAUCCUUUCAGCAAUAAACACUCUUUUCACAUGUAGUAAGGUUAAGGAGUCUACAUCACACCCUUUAUCAUUAUUAAUAAAGGGACACACCCUCCAGGGAUCCUAGGGAACCUCCUACCCACCCUGUGGUCACUCUAGGGAAAGGAAAGCUCUCAGGGACCGACGGGAGCCUGGGCACAUGCGCCACCACUCUCUCCUUUAUCCCCUCUAGCCCGGCUUGCUGGCUCUCACUUUCUUUUGUGCACUAGAACUCACGUACAAGUUGCACACCCAAACCCUUGCAUGCUGCAUUUCAGAGUCAACUUCAGUGAUUUUUGAGAGUGAUUUUGACAAUCCCAGUCAAAAUUCUAGCAGGUUUUUUUUUUUUACAUGACAAGUGGAUUCUAAAAUUCAUAGGAAAAUGCAAAUGACCUAGAAGAGCCAAAGCAAUUUUGGAAGGAGUAAAGUCGAAUGGCUGACGCUACCAGAUUUCAAGAUUCACUUGAAACGCACAGGAAUCAAGACAGGGUGGUGUCGACAGAAGGAAGGCGUCAGAGCAGGGUGACAGGAGGCAGGGCCACACACAGACGGCUGAUUGAUACCCGACAAAACCGCCGAGGUAAUUUCACAGGGAAAGGAACUCUUUUGAACAAAUGGUGCACCAACAAUUGGAUAACCAUACGGAAAAAAUUUAAAAAACAGAAGAACAUUGACCCUUCACGCACAUCAAACAUAAAUUAACUCAGAAUCCAUCAUAGGCUGGGUGUUGUGGCUCAUGCCUUUAAUCCUAGCACUUUGGGAGGCCAAGGCAGGCGGAUCACCUGAGGUCAGGAGUUUGAGACCAGCCUGGCCAACAUGGUAAAACCCCAUCUCUACUGAAAAUACAAAAAUUAGCCAGGCGUGGUGGCACGUGCCUGUAAUCCCAGGUACCCGGGAGGCUGAGGCAGGAGAAUUGCUGGAACCCGGGAGGCAGAGGCUGCAGUGAUCCGAGAUCACACCAUUGCACUCUAGCCUGGGCAACAGAGCAA
rnacentral:lncRNA from 1 species